UUUAAUUCCAAUUUUAAUUAAUUAAUGACACAUUUAAGUAAUUAUUUAAUGGUGUAUUUAUUUAUUUAAUUGUGGCACUUUCAGUCCUCCAUAUGAACCGAGCUACUGUAGCUUAAAUUGCUGAAAAAGUUAAAACUAAUACUGUGUACACACACUUGCAUAUACAGUGAAAGGGGAAGCCAUCAACAAAAAUCUAAUUGAGAAAUUAAACAGAACAUCAUGCCUGAUGUAUAAGAAUAUUACUGUUUUUAUUUAUCUUUUUGCACUAUUACAAAUACUGUGCACAAUUCUAGCCAUUCAAUUUCUGCACCUUAAGAUAUUUCCAUCUAUGCCGUAUAAUUUUCAGAAACAGGAUGAUACUCAACAGCAAUUUUAAAGCCCCCUUCAGUCAAAUCUGUUUUGCUUCUUCAUUGUGCAGAAAGAUGGAUGUGCAGAGUUUGACAUUAUAAGGGUGUUUUCACAUUCAUCUGCUGAAAGUGAAAUGUUUCUCUGUGCUCAUUGAAAAGCUGAUUUUAAGGGGCAAGGCCUACCAGCAUGAUUUGUGACAUCACAAAUAGUUUGGAAGUUAGUCCUGCUCCAGCAGGCAAAUUCUAUAAGUGAGAUAUAGAAAUUUGAAGCCACCAGUGCACAAACACUGAGAAUAAUGGGGGUCCUGACCACAGGUUGGGGAUAUAUUGGCAGAUGUGGAAUAUAAUAUUCAUAAGUAUGUUUUCAUGAGUGUAUAAUCACCUGAAAAUAAAAAAUUGCCAUUUUCAUCCACAGAGGGAGCAGGUACUUUUCUAUGGAGUCUGCCAUGUAAAGCAGCUAUGUUUCUACAGUAGUGAAUGCACAAACCAAACUGGCUCUACAUAGGGUCUAAUGUGUCCAAGGGGAGCGGAAUUCAGUUGUUUGCAAUCGGUAACUUCACUGAUAAAUGUCACUAAAUCCUACACAUUGGCCCUUUAAAAUAAUAUCUACAAUGUCCUAAUUUGUCUAAAUAACAUUAUGAAUCUAAAAAUGAGGGGAAAACAAUAUGCAAAUAAAAAGAUAUGUAAAGUCAGUCUCCUGCAUUACAGGUGUGCCUGUCCAAACAAAUAAUCACACAAUUUACUCCAGACAAUUGGCUCUCAGUGCUAAAAAUAAUUAUGUUUUGAUGUCUAUUCUGAUUGCCAUGAUAUUUUUUUCAGAGCAGUAAUCUACCAGUUUAACAAAUCAUAGAACACUACGUUCUCUGAAUGCUGGGCUACUUGUGGUUCCUAUAGUCUCUAAAAGUAGAACAGGAGCCAGAGCCUUCAGUUACCAAGCUCCUCUCCUAUGGAACCAGCUUCCAGUUGUGGUUCGGGAGGCAGACACCCUCUCCACACUCAAGAGUAGGCUUAAGACGUUCCUCUUUGAUAAAGCUUAUAGUUAGGGCUGGAUCAGGUGAGUCCUGAACCAUCCCUUAGUUAUGCUGCUAUAGGCCUAGACUAUUGGGGGAUUUCCCAUGGUGCACUGAGCUCCUCUCUUCCUCUCUCUUUCUGCACUCAUUCAUGUCCCAUUAAUGCAUGUUACUAACUUCACUUCUUCCCUGGAGUUCUUGUGCUUUCUCGUCUCGCAGGUUCUUGUCGAUCCUGGUGGAGCCUCCUGCCAUGGUCCUGCUAGAUUGCCAUUGCCAAUACUGUUGUUGCUGUGCUCUCUCUCUCUCUGCCUCUCUCUCUCUCUCUCUCUCUCUCUCUCUCUCUCUCUCUCUCUCUCUCUCUCUCUCUCUCUCUCACCCCAACUGGUCAAGACAGACGACCACCCACCUAGAGCCGGAGGAUCUGUCCUAGGUUUCUGCCUUUUAACAGGCAGUUUUUCCUUGCCCUUGUCGCCAAGUGCUUGCUCAUGGUGGUACUGUUGGGUCUCUGUAAUUAAUGUUUUAAAGAGUUCGGUCUAGACCUGCUCUAUUUGAAAAGUGUCCUGAGAUAACUUCUGUUAUGAAUUGGCGCUAUACAAAUAAAAUUGAAUUGAAU